rnacentral:rRNA from 1 species
CCUACGGGAGGCAGCAGUGAGGAAUAUUGGUCAAUGGGCGGAAGCCUGAACCAGCCAAGUAGCGUGCGGGAUGAAGGCCCUACGGGUCGUAAACCGCUUUUGCACGGGGAUAACACCCUCCACUUGUGGAGGUCUGCAGGUACCGUGCGAAUAAGGGCCGGCUAACUCCGUGCCAGCAGCCGCGGUAAUACGGAGGAUGCGAGCGUUAUCCGGAUUUAUUGGGUUUAAAGGGUGCGUAGGCGGAUUUUUAAGUCAGCGGUAAAAUGUCCGGGCUCAACCCGGGCCGGCCGUUGAAACUGGGGAUCUUGAGUGGGCGAGAAGUAUGCGGAAUGCGUGGUGUAGCGGUGAAAUGCAUAGAGAUCAUACAGAACACCGAUUGCGAAGGCAGCUUACCAAACUACGACUGACGUUGAGGCACGAAAGCGUGGGGAGCAAACAGGAUUAGAUACCCUUG